CCUGGCCAGACCGAGUAGGCCGCGAGGCCGAAAGCAGAGCCGUUUUGAGGAAGGAAGGCGUGACCAUCGGCCGCAAGGCCGUAAAUAUGCACCCCGCGCAGGCGGGCGGACGCUUCUUGCAUGGCCGGCCGGCUUCGGCGUUCACCCCGGUUUCAUGCCCGUCCUGCAAGCGGCUGCCAGAACGCCACUGCGAGCCGUGCGGGGUGCCCUCAUGAACUCGAACGACC
rnacentral:sRNA from 1 species